UCUACGGGGGGCUGCAGUGGGGAAUAUUGGGCAAUGGGCGCAAGCCUGACCCAGCAACGCCGCGUGAAGGAAGAAGGCUUUCGGGUUGUAAACUUCUUUUCUGAGGGACGAAGAAAGUGACGGUACCUCAGGAAUAAGCCACGGCUAACUACGUGCCCGCAGCCGCGGUAAUACGGAGGUGGGAAGCGUUCUCCGGAUUUAUUGGGUGUAAAGGGCGUGUAGGCGGGAAAGCAAGUCAGAUGUGAAAACUAAGGGCUCAACCCUGAGCCUGCAUUUGAAACUGUUUUUCUUGAGUGCUGGAGAGGCAGUCGGAAUUCGGGGUGUAGCGGUGAAAUGCGUAGAUAUACGGAGGAACACCAGUGGCGAAGGCGGAUUGCUGGACAGUAACUGACGCUGAGGCGCGAAAGCGUGGGGAGCAAACAGGAUUAGAUACCCCAGUAGUC
rnacentral:rRNA from 1 species